GGCCUGGUAGUUCAGCUGGUUAGAACGCCGCCCUGUCACGGCGGAGGUCGUGGGUUCGAGUCCCAUCCAGGUCGCCA
rnacentral:tRNA from 1 species